rnacentral:rRNA from 1 species
UACGGGGGGGGCAAGCGUUGUUCGGAAUUACUGGGCGUAAAGGGCUCGUAGGCGGCCAACUAAGUCGGAUGUGAAAUCCCCAGGCUUAACCUGGGAACUGCAUCCGAUACUGGAUGGCUUGAAUCCGGGAGAGGGAUGCGGAAUUCCAGGUGUAGCGGUGGAAAUGCGUAGAUAUCUGGAGGAACACCGGUGGCGAAGGCGGCAUCCUGGACCGGCAUUGACGCCUGGAGGAGCGAAAGCCAGGGGAGCAAACGGGG